UACGUAGGGUGCAAGCGUUAAUCGGAAUUACUGGGCGUAAAGCGUGCGCAGGCGGUGAUGUAAGACAGAUGUGAAAUCCCCGGGCUCAACCUGGGAACUGCAUUUGUGACUGCAUCGCUGGAGUGCGGCAGAGGGGGAUGGAAUUCCGCGUGUAGCAGUGAAAUGCGUAGAUAUGCGGAGGAACACCGAUGCGAAGGCAAUCCCCUGGGCCUGCACUGACGCUCAUGCACGAAAGCGUGGGGAGCAAACAGG
rnacentral:rRNA from 1 species